rnacentral:tRNA from 1 species
UGGAGUGUGGCUCAAGUGGCAGAGCACCUGUCUAGCAAGCACAAGGCCCUGAGUUCAAAUCCUAGUACUGCAA